UACGUAGGGUGCAAGCGUUAAUCGGAAUUACUGGGCGUAAAGCGCACGCAGGCGGUCUGUUAAGUCAGAUGUGAAAUCCCCGGGCUUAACCUGGGAACUGCAUUUGAAACUGGCAGGCUUGAGUCUUGUAGAGGGGGGUAGAAUUCCAGGUGUAGCGGUGAAAUGCGUAGAGAUCUGGAGGAAUACCGGUGGCGAAGGCAGGUCUCUGGGCCGAUACUGACGCUCAUGCACGAAAGCGUGGGGAGCAAACAGG
rnacentral:rRNA from 1 species